ensembl:ncRNA W05E10.16 ncRNA
UUGAAGCAUUGCAACGUUCCCGGGUUGGAACAUUUGUCCCAACUGGGAAAAGUUACCCAGUUGGGACAUCACUUUUGUGAACUGUUCUGGAGUGAACAUGUUCGCAAAGGAUGAAUGGGGAUCAGACUGAAAUUGAAAACAAUUAAA